CAAAAAAUAGUUUAUUAGAGCAUUAAUUUUGGAGAUUAAAGGUAUAAGUUUUAGUUAUUUUUUUGA
rnacentral:tRNA from 1 species